rnacentral:rRNA from 1 species
AUUGAACGCUGGCGGCAGGCUUAACACAUGCAAGUCGAGCGGGGAAGUAUAGCUUGCUAUACGACCUAGCGGCGGACGGGUGAGUAAUGCUUAGGAAUCUGCCUAUUAGUGGGGGACAACAUUCCGAAAGGAAUGCUAAUACCGCAUACGCCCUACGGGGGAAAGCAGGGGAUCUUCGGACCUUGCGCUAAUAGAUGAGCCUAAGUCAGAUUAGCUAGUUGGUGGGGUAAAGGCCUACCAAGGCGACGAUCUGUAGCGGGUCUGAGAGGAUGAUCCGCCUCACUGGGACUGAGACACGGCCCAGACUCCUACGGGAGGCAGCAGUGGGGAAUAUUGGACAAUGGGCGCAAGCCUGAUCCAGCCAUGCCGCGUGUGUGAAGAAGGCCUUUUGGUUGUAAAGCACUUUAAGCGAGGAGGAGGCUACUUGGAUUAAUACUCUAGGAUAGUGGACGUUACUCGCAGAAUAAGCACCGGCUAACUCUGUG